CCUAUUUUCUCCAGAAACUGUCCAGGUGGCAUGGAGGAGCAUUUGGAUCUGGCUCGUGAUGUACAAUCCCUCUCCCCAGAGUGGGAGAUCAAGCCAGGCCUUGAGAGCAAGCCUGCAGAGCCUGCAUCUUCCAACAGCUUCUUAGAAUCCUCUGGAUGGUGACGGAGGAGACAAACCCUAUAGGAAACAGUU
rnacentral:snoRNA from 1 species